CUGGAAAAGGAUCAUU
rnacentral:rRNA from 1 species